CAUCGAGAGUAGAUAACACUUUCAGUUGCUUCCUCACUUUACCUCAGCCGCUUCUCUUCGGUUUUGACUCACCGUUUUGUCGACCAAUCAGGUUUCCAACUCCACCGCUUUCACUGUUUAUUCUCGAUUCUUCUUCACCGUACCCUGAUGAUUUCGUCUGCAACACACCUCCUCCGUCCUCACCGUCGGUGGCUGCUGCUUUUAUCCCUAAUUUUGGAAGUCGAUUACAAAGAUUCAAGAUGCAUCGUACUCUAUCUUCUCCACCGAAAUUGCAGAAGUGGUUGAUUGUCAUCGGUUAACUCAACCGUUGAUUCUUGGAAUGAUGAAGGAACUGUGCCGGUGGUGGAGAUUCCCAACAACAGUAUCGGCUCUCUCUGUCUCUCUCUCGCUCUUCUCUCAAGUGCACCGGUGGAGACGAAGCUGACGAUCGCCCCACCCCCACACUAUCGUCUACCGAUUGGAUCGUCUCUCUUCCGCCACCAUCAGAAUCUACCACCGCCUCCAUGAUCGAAACUCCACCAAGCUUUCGUAGGAUGAGUCACCUCCAACUUCUUCAGCAUGUCGAUGUUCCUCAAAAGCAUCGAUCGUCUGGAUUUGGGUCAUCGGCGCCUCCACCGACAUCUCACGUCUCGAUCUUCUCUCAAGCGAUCAUCAACCACCUGACCCCCACGCCUCCACUCUUCGUCUUCUCUCUUAUGCUACCAUCAUCAUCCGUAUCUUCUUAUGCCGACCAUCAUAGCAUUGCAAUUGCUUCCUUCUCUGUCGCUGACAACGAGACGGCUCUGGGUAAAAGUGAUAGGAGUCCUUCUCCCUCUUUCAGUGGUAGUCGUCGACGACGACCUCUCCUACCACCUCCGCCAUCGUCGUCUACUCACUGUAGAAAUCGAGGCUCCACAAAAAACCCCUAAAAUCUUCUAUUGUGUUCUUCGUUUGAGGCCUAAAGUCGACUGAAACAAAUCACUUUCUCCACCUUAUGAUUACUUGUGAUUUAUUGGCUAAUGCUUCAUAUUUGUUGCGGUUAGGUAGCGAUGGAUGGAGCUCACAGACAAUAUUUAAUUGGUUUAGGGCUUCGGUGCAUGUGUAGAUGUUGUAUCAGCAGCUAUUGAGAGCUUGGAGAUAUGACUACUUUUGCUGGGUAUACAUAUGAAUGAUCCAUGCACAACUGCUGGAAGAGGUUCGAAUUUGACAGAAGAUGGUGAUGUUGAAUGUGAUGCAAGUGUUAUGGAUGGUUGCUCUGGAGCAUUUGGUGCUGUUGGAGAAGUAUUAAGAUUGCAGCUUUUGUUGGUCAAGGAGCAAAUCUUGGGUUCAUCAUUGUUGGGUCGAAUUCCUCCCAUGUUUUUGGCUGGUGACUGCACAUGUUUGCACAAAUUCCAAGGGCAUUAAUAUUUUUGAAACAAUUGAAAAGGCUAAUGAGUUUUUCUGCUUAAGUGGCCUAUUCUAAAAUGAAGCUGUAGGUGUCAUGAACGCUAUCAAGGAAAAAAAACUAAAAGGGAUGGGACUCAUACAACCUCUUUAAACAUGAUGUAUGCCGUUUGGAGGUGGGACAAAUUUGAAGCGAUUGGGCAUGAUAGGGUGGUGGAUUGGGUCGGAAACAAAGAUUAGCUUAUAAAAGCUUUGGUUAAUUGACAAAUGAAUAUCGGGUAGAAAAACAAAUUUUCCUCAGUAAGGCUUAGAUAUAAAUAUAGAUACAUAAGCUCGGUUAUUGUUGCGUAUUAUUGGUAAAUUAGUUCUUUUGUAUCAGCUUAUAUAGUUACAACCAUGAGUUUUUAGAAAUUGUGUCACUUCAAAGUUCAAACGAUGUCUUCCAACAAAUAUAUAAAAAAUUAUAAUUUUUUGUAGAAACCGUUAAAGGACUGAAUAUUUUAGCAUUUAUGUGAACCACAGGGAGGACCUAUACAAGGAGUGUCUCAAGGCUGUACAGACGGGGCUAUUGUUGAGUAAAAAACCCACCAUUGAAAUCGAUCGUUUAGAUGGUAUUGAUGCUAGACAUUGUUCUGUUUUACGGUUGUUAACAACAUGGUUUGACCUCAAAUGGAUCAAUAUUCAUAGUACACGGACAAAAAGUUUGAUUUUUGUUAGUGUUUUUUUUGAAUUUUCGUCUGUUUCUUUGUUGGAUAAUGGUUAAUGGCGGUCAAUUAUAAGGUUUAGAUGUUUAGCUUUUCUGUCUAACAAAAUCUGUGGCUGAAAGUAUGUCUUUGUGUUUUUGUGCGUUCUUAGGGGUGUAUAUUUUUUGAUUGGUUUGGGCUCAUAAUCUCUUUCAGCAGGUGUUUGAUGAAACGUCCGAGUCAACCAAAUCUGUAAAAUGAAGUUCUUUUAAUAGAAGAGGGGAUUAGGAGAGCCAAUGCAUUAAAGAAGCUUGACAGAAAUGCAAAAUACACGUGCAAGCAUGGAAGUCCACUCAGAAAUGCUUACCGCAGUUGAUCCACAAAAGAAAGACAUAAUUUCUUUAUGAGAAAUGUCUAAACUGCCCUUUUCUCUCAAUAUGAACUCUUUAUUCUGUAUUGGAACCAGGGAUUUCAGAAAAACCUUAUUGUAGACUUGGUAGAAUUUUGUGUUGUAUUUUCUACAACUUUUAAAUGAAACUUGAAGGAGGAUUACAAUCUUUAUGUAAUAUCCGUACACAACAGUUCACUCA